CAGAGGAAAGCCAGAAACAGGACUGGUGCAAUGGCAAUGCAAGCAAACAGUACAAUGUGUGCAAAGCUUAGGUCAUUGCUGUCACUGCUCCCACCCCAUUGCCAGUGUCAGUGACACUCUGAUUUAUGGUGGUCAAAGGGCAAAAAUGAAGUAGUGGCAGUGGGAGGAAAAGGCAAGGGGGAAAUAGAAAGGGGAGCUCAAGCCCAAGCAGAAAUAGGACGCUCCCAUUUUGGAGACCACCAGAACAAGGUGUCCCAGGACUGAGGUUUCUACUCCCAGCAGCUCUCAGUGCUGAGUGCAGCUGUUGCAGCUCUCAUCAGGGGCUGAUUCACUUCCACUGUGACACUGAGUGGUGCCACUGCAUGUCCUGUUUGCUGCGCUUGGGGGAAUGUGAAGCAGCCACAACACAGAAAUGAACAGUCUCCAAACAGCUGUCUCCAGUGGGGAAUUUUUAGGCCUUUCAACAUGAAAUCAGUGACUGUUCCAAUUCUCUCAGAUUCACACGAUAGAAGAUAUAGGCAUGUGUCUACAUCCUCAUGCAAAAUUUUUAGACUCUGGGCUUGAGCACUGUAUGGCACAGGCUCACAUCUCUUGUAUGUCUUCUUUUAGCCUCUCCCACCACUGCCAGAUUGCUUAGCAUCCUUUUCCACCCUUGUGUUUUCAGGUUUUUUACUUCAUUAAACAGCUUGGCAUCUUAAUCAGAAAUCAUCUUCUUCCUAAAGUCAAUCCACCUUGCUCACAAUUGUCAUUAGUGGGCUUCAUUUUUUAGAAGAAUUGUGGAAAUUCACCCCAGAUGUACCACAUUCCAGGUUGAACAACCAUCAUGGAUCUCAGCAGGACUGUGUAAUUUACAUCACAAUGGUUCAUGGCAACAUAUGGGGAUCCUUAUUAGAACAAAGAGCAGAAGAAAAUCGAUGGAAUAUCACAGUGGAAGCAAGAGAUGAGAGGGAGAACAAAAGCAACAUGCAUUAUACGUGGCAGUUACAAUGGGCUCCUGAUUCAGGGACAAGAUCAUCCUGUGCUAAUAAAGAUUUGAGCAGAGGAUCUUUGAAAUUAUUUGGCUAGUUACAAUGCUGUAGAAUGUCUUCUCACAAUAAUUUCUAUUCUGUAGUUUAUCUUCUGACUGUAAAUAAAAGCCAUUAAAAAGCCUUAUGAGUCA
rnacentral:lncRNA from 1 species